rnacentral:tRNA from 1 species
GUCUCCAUAGCCUAUUGGUUAUGGCUAUGGAUCGCCAAUCCGGAGACGACGGGUUCGAUUCCCGUUCCAGUCG